GGGAGUUUGGCCGAGUGGUUAAGGCGUUGUGUUUAGGUUUUCUAUCUUCUGAUGAAGAAUAUCUUGAACUCCGACCCGCAAUGGGAAACCGCGCAGGUUCGAAUCCUGCAGCUCUCA